GCCCCGUUAGCUCAGUUGGUUAGAGCAGUCGGCUCAUAACCGAUCGGCCCCGGGUUCAAGUCCUGGACGGGGCA
rnacentral:tRNA from 1 species